rnacentral:rRNA from 1 species
UACACACCGCCCGUCACACCAUGGAGUGGUCCACCAGAAGUAGGUAGCCUAACCGCAAGGAGGCGCUUACCACGGUGAGAUUCAUGACUGGGGUG